rnacentral:rRNA from 1 species
GGCGCACGGGUGAGUAACGCGUAGAUAAUCUGCCCUUAAGUCUGGGAUAACCUUCCGAAAGGAGGGCUAAUACCGGAUAACAAUAGAAGUCGAGUGGCUUUUAUUUGAAAGAUUUAUUGCUUAAGGAUGAGUCUGCGUAGCAUUAGCUUGUUGGUGGGGUAAAGGCCUACCAAGGCUACGAUGUUUAGCGGGUCUGAGAGGAUGAUCCGCCACACUGGAACUGAGACACGGUCCAG